CAUUCACGGAGAGUUUGAUCCUGGCUCAGGACGAACGCUGGCGGCGUGCUUAACACAUGCAAGUCGAACGAUGAACCGCUUUCGGGCGGGGAUUAGUGGCGAACGGGUGAGUAACACGUGGGCAAUCUGCCCUGCACUCUGGGACAAGCCCUGGAAACGGGGUCUAAUACCGGAUAUGACUGUCCAUCGCAUGGUGGAUGGUGUAAAGCUCCGGCGG
rnacentral:rRNA from 1 species